CCGGCCCCGCCGCCAUGGCGCUGGCGCAGGGCGGUGCUGUGGAGGAGUUCUCGCCGUCGGGCUGUGGGCAGCGCCAUCCGUCGUCUCUUCAUCUGGGACGAGCACGAAAACGGUAGGUGAGAAGGGGACCUGCCUCAGCGGCCGGGAGCUGCCAGAGGUCAUAGGAUAGUAGAAUAUCCCCAACUGGAAGUGACCUACAAGGAUCGUCGAGUUUAACUCUGGGCUCCACACAGGACCACCCAAAGUCAAACCCUAUGACUGGUCUAUUCUGAGAGUCUCACCUGGGCUACAUCCAAAGAGAAACCUUUCAUCCACGCAUCCUGCUUCAGGCUGGGAGACACAGUCCCACCUGCUCCAUCCUGCAGAGCCUGGG